rnacentral:rRNA from 1 species
UACAGAGGUGGCAAGCGUUGUUCGGAAUUACUGGGCGUAAAGGGCGCGUAGGCGGCCAUCUAAGUCAGACGUGAAAUCCCCCGGCUUAACCUGGGAACUGCGUCUGAUACUGGAAGGCUUGAGUAUGGGAGGGGGUAGCGGAAUUCCCAGUGUAGCGGUGAAAUGCGUAGAUAUUGGGAGGAACACCGGUGGCGAAGGCGGCUACCUGGACCGGUUCUGACGCUGAUGCGCGAAAGCGUGGGUAGCAAACAGG